AGUUUGAUUAUGGCUCAGAUUGAACGCUGGCGGGAUGCUUUACACAUGCAAGUCGAACGGCAGCACGGACUUCAUUCAGUGGCGAGUGGCGAACGGGUGAGUAAUGUAUCGGAAAACGUGCCUAGUAGCGGGGGAUAACUACGAAAGCGUAGCCAAUACCGCAUACGCCCUUCGGGGAAAGCGGGGACCUUCGGGCCUCGCAAUUAUUAGAGCAGCCGAUAUCGUAAUACCAGCUAAGUUGCGGGUAACGGCUCACCAAGGCGACGAUCCAGCUGGUUUGAGAGGACGACCAGCCACACUGGGACUGAGAGAUUAUCGGCCCAGACUCCUACGGAGGCAGCAGUGGGGAAUUUUUUUGAUAAUGGGGGAAACCCGAUCCAGCCAUCCUGGCGUGUGCGAUGAAGGCCUUCGGGCUAAAAGAAUUCUUUGGCAGGAAAGAAACGGCACGGGAUAAUACCCGUGCAACUGACGGUACCUGCAGAAUAAGUACCGAAGCACCACGCCAGCAGCCGCGGUAAUACGUAGUGCGUUAACUGAAUUAUUGGGCGUAAAGCGUGCGCAGGCAGGUUCGGAAAGAAAGAUGAAUCCAGAGCUUAAUCUCUUGAAAUCGUAUUUAACUACCGAGCUAGAGUGUGUCAGAGGGAGGUGGGAAUUCCAUGUAGCAGCAGUGGAAUGCGUAGAUAUGCGAGGAACACCGGAUGGCGUAAAGGCAGCUUCCUGGGAUAACACUGACGCUCGCGGCCGAAAGUGUGGGGAUAAACAGGAUUAGAUACCCCGGUAGUCCACGCCCUAAACGAUGUCAACUAGUUGGUGCUGGGGCUCUCGGGCCUUGGUAGCGCAGCUUAACGCGGUGGUUGACCGCCUGGGGAGUACGGUCAAGAUUAAAACUCAAAGGAAUUGACGGGGACCCGCACAAGCGAUGGAUGAUGUGGAUUUAAUUGAUGCAACCAUGAAAAACCUUACCUACCCUUGACAUGUCUGGAAUCCCGAAGAGAUUGGGAGUGCUCGCGGUAAGAGAACGGAACACAGUAAGUUGCAAGGGCUGUCGUCAGCUCGUAAUGUGAUGUUGGGUUAAGUCCCGCAACGAGCGCAACCUUGUCAUUAUUACGAAAGGGUUGUUCCAUCGACUGCCGGUGACAAACCGGAGAAGCGUGGGGAUGACGUCAAGUCCUCAGCGGCCUUAUGGUGGGUCACAUUAUACAAUGGUCGGGGACAGAGGGUCGCCAACCUGCGAGGGGAGCCAAUCCCAGAAACCUGAUUGGGGCCGAUCGCAGUCUGCAACUGACUGGUGUGAAGUCGGAAUCGCUAGUAAUCGCGGAUCAGCAUGUCGCGGUGAAUACGUUCCUGGUCUUGUACACAAUUCCGCCCGUCACACCAUAAGGGGUUUGCACUUUGCAUAGUUAGCCUAACCGUAAGGAGGGCGAUUACCACGGUAGGAUCUGGCGAUCAGUGAAGUCGUAACAAGGUAG
rnacentral:rRNA from 1 species